rnacentral:rRNA from 1 species
CCUACGGGAGGCAGCAGUGAGGAAUAUUGGUCAAUGGGCGGAAGCCUGAACCAGCCAAGCAGCGUGAAGGAUGACGGCCCUACGCGUUGUAAACUGCUUUUGUAAAGGAAUAAAGUGACGCACGUGUACUUAUUUGUAUGUACUUUAUGAAUAAGGAUAGGCUAACUCCGUGCCAGCAGCCGCGGUAAUACGGAGGAUCCGAGCGUUAUCCGGAUUUAUUGGGUUUAAAGGGAGCGUAGAUGGGUUGGUAAGUCAGUUGUGAAAGGCUGGGGCUCAACCGUGAAAUUGCAAUUGAUACUGGUAGUCUAGAGUACAGGUGGGGUAGGCGGAAUUCGUGGUGUAGCGGUGAAAUGCUUAGAGAUCAGGAAGAACACCGAUUGCGAAGGCAGCUUACUAAACUGCCACUGACGUUGAGGCUCGAAAGCGUGGGGAGCAAACAGGAUUAGAUACCCUAGUAGUC